rnacentral:rRNA from 1 species
ACGUAGGGGGCGAGCGUUGUCCGGAAUUACUGGGCGUAAAGCGCACGCAGGCGGGUUGUUAAGUCGGCUGUGAAAAGCACGGGCUCAACCUGUGUCUUGCGGUCGAUACUGGCAGCCUCGAGUACGAGAGAGGGAAGUGGAAUUCCCGGUGGGGGGGUGCAAGGCGUAGAUAUCGGGAGGAAGAGCAGUGGCGGAGGCGGCGACCGGGCUCGAGACUGACACUCAUGUGCGAAAGUUGGGGGAACGAACGG